UACGGGGGGAGCAAGCGUUGUUCGGAUUUACUGGGCGUAAAGGGCGCGUAGGCGGCGCAACAAGUCACUUGUGAAAUCUUCAGGCUUAACCUGAAGCGGCCAAGUGAUACUGUCGUGCUAGAGUGCGGAAGGGGCAACUGGAAUUCUUGGUGUAGCGGUGAAAUGCGUAGAUAUCAAGAGGAACACCUGCGGCGAAGGCGGGUUGCUGGGCCGACACUGACGCUGAGGCGCGAAAGCGUGGGGAGCAAACAGG
rnacentral:rRNA from 1 species